rnacentral:rRNA from 1 species
UACGUAGGGUGCGAGCGUUAAUCGGAAUUACUGGGCGUAAAGCGUGCGCAGGCGGUUUUGCAAGCCGGAUGUGAAAUCCCCGGGCUCAACCUGGGAAUGGCACUCGGGACUGCAAGGCUGGAGUGCGGCAGAGGAGACUGGAAUUCCUGGUGUAGCAGUGAAAUGCGUAGAUAUCAGGAGGAAUACCGAUGGCGAAGGCAGGUCUCUGGGCUGACACUGACGCUCAUGCACGAAAGCGUGGGGAGCAAACAGG